AAAACCAAGUUUGCUUCUUCAACUUCAUCCUUUACAAAUUCAACAAUUUCAUAAUUCAAUUUCAACACAAGAGACCAAUUUCACUUCCUUUUUCUCUAUUCUCUGAUUCAAGCAAUCAACCACCACCGAAUGCCGUUGCCACCAUCACCACCGUGACUUCCAUAGACCCCACCACAACCUCCCAGCACCACCACGCACUCCCUUCGCCACCCCCACACCACCUCCCCUGCCUUUCCCCUUCUCGGCUUCCUCUCUCCCCUGCCUUUCUCCCUCCCUGCCUCUCUUUUCGCUGCAGCACCACGCCCACCACCGUCAGAUUCACCCCCUUUCUGUCCCCUUCCGUUUGUCUCACCGCCGACCAACCACCCAGAACCACCGCAGACAUUCUCCGCCCCCAAAAUACCCCGGCGAACGACUGCUGACCGGAAACACCCCUUCCCCUGCUUCCUCUGUUCGCUCAACCAUUUUUCCCCCUUCUUAGCUGUUUCGCCGCCGCGAAACCAACCCCACCACCUUCGUCGUCACCAGCGCAGACUUUUGACGCCGGAACACCGAACCGAGCCACCCAGGCCGCCGCCUAGCCUCCCCUCUUUCCUCCCCUGUUCGUGCCCUGUUUCGCACCCCCUUCCCUCUUUGGUCGACUUUCAGAAAAAACCAAAAACCAAAAUGCCUGAUCUUGUUUGCUUGCUUUAAUAAACCCAAAACAAAGCUGGCCCAAUUCUAAACUCUUGGGCUUUUGAAUCGGACUUGAAGCUCAGGACGAACGAUCCAUCGAACAGGAAGUAUAAACUACGGUUGAGGUACGAAGAAGAUCACGGGAUGCCUUAGAGUGAGGAUGCAACCAUCAAAUUCACGGUCGAUGUUUAAUAAAGAUAAUCAUGUAUCACUAGUAAUAAUGGAUGAACUAAUUAAACUCUUAGUCAAAAUUUCAAUUGUUGAGUUGGAUUUUAAUAUUUAUAUUUAAUCAAUGUUAGGAAUAUUUAUUUAAAUUUCAUUUAGAUUUCGAUGUAAAUAUGAAAGAAUUAAUCGAAGUGAAGUAUAAUUACUGUUA